rnacentral:rRNA from 1 species
GAUGAACGCUGGCGGCGUGCCUAAUACAUGCAAGUCGAGCGAACGGACGAGAAGCUUGCUUUUCUGAUGUUAGCGGCGGACGGGUGAGUAACACGUGGAUAACCUACCUAUAAGACUGGGAUAACUUCGGGAAACCGGAGCUAAUACCGGAUAAUAUUUUGAACCGCAUGGUUCAAAAGUGAAAGACGGUCUUGCUGUCACUUAUAGAUGGAUCCGCGCUGCAUUAGCUAGUUGGUAAGGUAACGGCUUACCAAGGCAACGAUGCAUAGCCGACCUGAGAGGGUGAUCGGCCACACUGAAACUGAGACACGAUCCAGACUCCUACGGGAGGCAGAAGUAGGGAAUCUUCCGCAAUAGGCGAAAGCCUGACGGAGCAACGCCGCGUGAGUGAUGAAGGUCUUCGGAUCGUAAAACUCUGUUAUUAGGGAAGAACAUAUGUGUAAGUAACUGUGCACAUCUUGACGGUACCUAAUCAGAAAGCCACGGCUAACUACGUG